AGUGUUAACAUUUUCUCUCACCAGCUGAUGAAGCCAAAUUGUCAACAGUGAAACCUGCGAUAUCUGCUGAAACCACAGUAAACACGAUAGAGCAGAGAGGAGGAAGAUUCUUCAGAAAACACCAC